GAGACUUUAUACCCCUAGGUGUUUUUGCUAUUCCGCACUCUUCGUGAAGUUGACGAGAACCGGAGUAAAAAUGUUUGCGAUCCGCAACAGUUUGACAAGCACGUCCCGUUUAUCGGGCGUCAUCGUCAGGUCGUAUCACAAUUCGAUCGUUUCCACACCACCCAGGGUGAAAAUCUCGGCACCUGAAAAGAUAUUUUCGUUGCUCUGUAUCGGCGCAGCAAUAUUGGGAACACCCAUGUAUAUGGUACCUAAUUUUAAGAACUAUGCCAAGAAGAAGGAAUAAAGAUAAAGGAAACUAGAUUGAAGCUUCGAACAGGUCAUCUUAGCUUGAAAAUUAAUGGUAUCAAAGUUAUUAUUUAUGAUAUAAUAUCCAACGGUCAUAUACAUUUAUGGAUCCAUUGGAGGUGUAGAUCUAGGUUGUUAAUAAAUAUGUAAAAAGUGGAAA